UGUGGAGAGGGCUGCAAGACGGAGAGCUGGAGUGUGGAGAAGAGCGUGGAGAGGAGACGUGUCCAGGAACUCCACAGAGACAAAAGAGAGGUCCCGUCCUGCCAGACUAGGAACUCCUGAAAAUCACAGAAAGCUGCUCUUUUGGCCAAACUCACCCGUCAUCCAGACAGCGCACGGAGCAGAGCACCGGGUCAAGGUCAUGGGCUCCCUUGGGGGAAUACAGCCGGACACGAGAGGAGUCGCUGGGGCGGACGCACCCGAUG